rnacentral:rRNA from 1 species
UACGUAGGGGCCAAGCGUUGUCCGGAUUUAUUGGGCGUAAAGAGCUCGUAGGCGGUUCGGCAAGUCGGAUGUGAAAUCUCCACGCUUAACGUGGAGGAUCCAUUCGAAACUGCCGUGACUCGAGUCCGGUAGGGGAGUGUGGAAUUCCCGGUGUAGCGGUGAAAUGCCCAGAUAUCGGGAGGAACACCAGUAGCGAAGGCUGCACUCUGGGCCGGUACUGACGCUGAGGAGCGAAAGCGUGGGGAGCGAACAGG